GUCAUACUACGGCGCAACGCCCUAUAAAGUAAACGAUGACCCUUCGGGAACUUCAGGGUAAAAUGACUAUCAAAAUGUGAAUUGUAGCUGACCUGGACUUGUACCCGGGGCGGUAUUUUUU
rfam:Shigella dysenteriae Sd197, complete genome.